UACGGGGGGGGCAAGCGUUGUUCGGAAUUACUGGGCGUAAAGGGCGCGUAGGCGGCCUCCUAAGUCGGACGUGAAAUCCCUCGGCUCAACCGAGGAACUGCGUCCGAUACUGGCGAGCUAGAGUGUGUCAGAGGAUGGUGGAAUUCCCGGUGUAGCGGUGAAAUGCGUAGAGAUCGGGAGGAACAUCAGUGGCGAAGGCGGCCAUCUGGGACAACACUGACGCUGAAGCACGAAAGCGUGGGGAGCAAACAGG
rnacentral:rRNA from 1 species